UCGUACCUGCCUCCCGAAGUGGCUGGCUGUUUCCAUCGGCGUCACCGAUAGGGCCUCUGAAAUAAUACGCUGUCGUACCUGACUCCCGAAGGAGCUGGCUGUUUCUAUCGGCGUCACUGAUAGGGCCUCUGAAAUACGUUGUCGUACCUGCCUCCUUGCUACAUUUCUCUGGAGACACCAAGGCAGGGCAGCAGCGCUGGCUUCAUUUCCACUCAGCAGAGGGUGGUGCUCAUUCCACAUCCUUAGGACUAUUUAGCUGAUUCUGAGCGCCUGUCCUUGGGAAUGGUGGAUGAGGACAGAGGGCUCUUGGCUUUCUAAACAUUUCCUGACCUGCUGGCCCAAGCCUGAAGCUCACAGUGGCAACAUCAACUUUAAUCUGGGCCCUGGGCUCCUAAAACCAAUUGAAGACCAAGGAGUGGAGAUUCUUAAAUUGGAGACCCCCAGAGGCGGACCCAAAUUAGAAAUAAUUUAUAUCAACCCUCCCAUUUGAGAGGACAAAACUGAGGCCUCUGGUGAGAAGGUUUCCGAGAGGGAGCAGCAGGGGCGUGGCGCCCGUUUCCCCGCCCGAUAGCCCCCCGACCCGUGGCCCCAUUACAGCACGUGGGCGGCGAUCCAGCAGGAGGAGGCGCAGAUCCACAGGCCGAAGGAGAUGCAGACGCGGUGGCGGGCGAAGCAGCGGUCCAGGAGUCGCUGGUGUUGAUGCUGAAAAGUUACAGGAUCUCUUCCAGGAGGAGGAUGGCAGUACAGCAGCUUACCCUACAAAGACAACAUGAAUGACAACAGUGCAACCUAAGUGCCAUCUGUGGCCUCAGAGGAGACAGUUCCACCCAGUCACACUCUGAUGGAGCUUUCUGCCUUCUGGUUAAGUUAGCUGAGUUGAGUUUUGGUCUACUGCAGCUGAAGAGUCCUUUUUCUAAUACAUCAAUGGUCAAAGUGUUCUAGAGACCUAGCUCUUCCCAUGGCGCCCCAGACUAGGAUGAAAUCUCUUUCUUCUUCUCUCGUUUGCAUUCCCACUCAAGUAUUCUUCAGUAUACGGACAUGAUCACACUUAUGGUGAAUAUUUUCCAAAACAAAACUCAAGACAUAACUGGACAGUUACGGUAAUGCCGGGAUAGACUGUUAAAGUCAGGAGAGUUCCUCGACUCCUGUAUGUGGGGUUGCAGUUGCUCACUGGGUGCAAGUCUGCCUCUUUCCAUCAUAAAUGAUCUGAAGGCUGUGACUACUUUUACCUCAUCUUUACAUCCUCCACACCCCAAGAUGCUGGGAUUCUCCCUAUUAAGCAUCUGGAACAUUUACAGCAUAAGCUGGCAAGGAUCACAGGGUGCCCAAAGAACACUGGGCUGAAGUCUCAAGACAACAUUAACAUCUCUCUCAUUCUGCUGUCUCGGUACUUCACACGGCAGGAAAAGCUGAACUGAAAGGAGAUUGGAGAAUACAUUCAAUGUGAAUAGGUAUGUUACCAACAUAGGCCUUGAGGAAGUUGAUUCCUUUGAGUUGGGCUCUGUCUAUUCCACUGCCUAAUCCCGUGAUGCCAGUGGGCAACAAGAGGGCAAUGUUCCCUAUGAUGCCGGAAGCCUGGUUGGUCUUUGGGGUCGUGCAGCUACUGAAAAAUGGGGAUUAAAGACAAUCAUGUGGUAACAAUGUUACGACAUAUGUCAUCUUACCAGUCCGACCGUAAGUUGCCCAUCUUUCACCUUUCUCCCGGUGUGUAGCUCCUUAAAGAGCUCCAGUAACUCCUGCUUGGAUACCAGAUGGCUAAAAUUGUGUAUCUGCCUCUUCUGUGGGGUUUUCCUGCUCCGAGCCUCAGAAUCUGCAGUAGAGCUUUCCUUCCGGUCCUGGCCGCAGUCCUCUUCCUCGGGACCGUCUUCUUCUGAGCACGUCUGCCAGUCGUCUUCCUCCUCCUCGGGACAGUCCUCAUACUCACUGUCAUCUUCAUCCGUUGUGGGAUUUUCACUAAGUGAAGGAGAAUCCCUAGCUGGGAGAUGUUCAGUCUCACUGUGGGAAAUUUCAGCCUCGUUGAAACUGGAGUGUCCAAACUCGGUUGUGUUGCUCUGUCUAUCAUCUCUGUUUGCCUCUUCCUGAUAAAAUAAUAGAAACGCUCAGAAGUAUAUAACUGCAGUUUCCACUCUAGUAAAAAUACUUAAUGAGUUGUAAGAUGGACAGAGGAUGGCUGGGCGUGGUGGCUCAAGCCUGUAAUCCCAGCACUUUGGGAGGCCAAGGUGCGCAGAUCAUUUGAGGUCAGGAGUUUGAGACCAGCCUGACCAACAUGGUGAAACCCCGCCUCUACUAAAAAUACAAAAAUUAGCCAGGCGUGGUGGUGCACACCUGUAAUCCCAGCUACUUGGGAGGCUGAGGCAGAACUGCUUGAACCUGAGAGGCGGAGGGUGCAGUGAGCCGAGAUGGUGCCACUGCACUCCAGUCUGGGCAACAGACAAGGCUCUGUCUCACAAAAAAAAAAAAAAAAAAAAA